AAAUUGAAGAGUUUGAUCAUGGCUCAGAUUGAACGCUGGCGGCAGGCCUAACACAUGCAAGUCGAACGGUAACAGGAAGCAGCUUGCUGCUUYGCUGACGAGUGGCGGACGGGUGAGUAAUGUCUGGGAAACUGCCUGAUGGAGGGGGAUAACUACUGGAAACGGUAGCUAAUACCGCAUAACGUYGCAAGACCAAAGAGGGGGACCUUCGGGCCUCUUGCCAUCGGAUGUGCCCAGAUGGGAUUAGCUAGUAGGUGGGGUAACGGCUCACCUAGGCGACGAUCCCUAGCUGGUCUGAGAGGAUGACCAGCCACACUGGAACUGAGACACGGUCCAGACUCCUACGGGAGGCAGCAGUGGGGAAUAUUGCACAAUGGGCGCAAGCCUGAUGCAGCCAUGCCGCGUGUAUGAAGA
rnacentral:rRNA from 1 species